AGGGGGUAGUUUUUAGUACGUAGAAAUUGUGCAUGCUGCUACUAAGGGACCAGCAGUAUCUUUUGAAGAUUUUCUUCCUCC
rfam:Glossina pallidipes unplaced genomic scaffold Scaffold27, whole genome shotgun sequence.